CCUACGGGUGGCUGCAGUGGGGAAUAUUGGACAAUGGGCGAAAGCCUGAUCCAGCCAUGCCGCGUGUGUGAAGAAGGCCUUCGGGUUAUAAAGCACUUUCAGUGGGGAAGAAAGCCUUGGGGCUAAUACCCUCGAGGAAGGACAUCACCCACAGAAGAAGCACCGGCUAACUCCGUGCCAGCAGCCGCGGUAAUACGGAGGGUGCGAGCGUUAAUCGGAAUUACUGGGCGUAAAGCGCGCGUAGGCGGUCUGAUAAGCCGGUUGUGAAAGCCCCGGGCUCAACCUGGGAACGGCAUCCGGAACUGUCAGGCUAGAGUGCAGGAGAGGAAGGUAGAAUUCCCGGUGUAGCGGUGAAAUGCGUAGAGAUCGGGAGGAAUACCAGUGGCGAAGGCGGCCUUCUGGACUGACACUGACGCUGAGGUGCGAAAGCGUGGGUAGCAAACAGGAUUAGAUACCCCUGUAGUC
rnacentral:rRNA from 1 species